rnacentral:rRNA from 1 species
CAUAUGGAGAGUUUGAUCCUGGCUCAGAACGAACGCUGGCGGCGUGGAUUAGGCAUGCAAGUCGAACGUGAAGGGACCCUUCGGGGUUCCGUAAAGUGGCAAACGGGUGAGUAACGCGUGGGAAACCUACCCUGAGGUUGGGGAUAACACUUCUAACGAGGUGCUAAUACCGAAUACGGUCGAUUGUCCACAUGGACGGUCGAUCAAAGGCGGCCUCUGUUUACAAGCUGUCGCCUUUGGAUGGUCCCGCGUCCCAUUAGCUAGUUGGUGAGGUAACGGCCCACCAAGGCUAUGAUGGGUAGCCGGCCUUAGCGGGUGUCCGGCCACACUGGAACUGAGACACGGUCCAGACUCCUACGGGAGGCAGCAGUCGAGAGGCUUCCACAAUGGGGGAAACCCUGAUGGAGCGACGCCGCGUGGGUGAUGAAGGUCUUCGGAUCGUAAAGCCCUUUCAGCAAGGAAGAAUGUACGGGUGCUAAUAUCAUCCAGUGCAAGACGGUACUUGCAGAAGAAGCUCCGGCUAACUCCGUGCCAGCAGCCGCGGUAAGACGGGGGGAGCAAGCGUUGUUCGGAUUUACUGGGCGUAAAGGGCGUCUAGGCGGAUUAGUCAGUCAGGUGUGAAACCCCCCGGCUCAACCGGGGACCGGCAUUUGAUACUACUAAUCUUGAGUACGGAAGAGGAAAGCGGAAUUCCUGGUGUAGCGGUGAAAUGCGUAGAUAUCAGGAAGAACACCGGUG